rnacentral:rRNA from 1 species
CCUACGGGAGGCAGCAGUGGGGAAUAUUGGGCAAUGGAGGAAACUCUGACCCAGCAAUGCCGCGUGAAUGAAGAAGGUCUUCGGAUUGUAAAGUUCUUUAGUCAGGGAAGAAUAAAAUGACGGUACCUGAAGAAUAAGCUCCGGCUAACUACGUGCCAGCAGCCGCGGUAAUACGUAGGGAGCAAGCGUUGUUCGGAAUGACUGGGCGUAAAGGGGGCGUAGGCGGUGUUACAAGUUAGAGGUGAAAUACCCAGGGCUUAACUCGGGUGCUGCUUUGAAAACUGGAAGACUUGAGUGCAGUAGAGGUAAGCGGAAGUCCGAGUGAAGCGGUGGAAGGCGUAGAUAUAAGGAGGAACACCAGAGGCGAAGGCGGCUACCUGGGCUGCAACUGACGCUGAGGCACGAAAGUGUGGGGAGCAAACAGGAUUAGAUACCCUAGUAGUC